rnacentral:rRNA from 1 species
GGAAUAUUGGACAAUGGGGGCAACCCUGAUCCAGCCAUGCCGCGUGUGUGAAGAAGGCCUUCGGGUUGUAAAGCACUUUCAGACGUGAGGAAGGGUUGUGUGUUAAUAGCGCACAACAUUGACGUUAGCGUCAGAAGAAGCACCGGCUACCUCCGUGCCAGCAGCCGCGGUAAUACGGAGGGUGCGAGCGUUAAUCGGAAUUACUGGGCGUAAAGCGCACGCAGGCGGUUUGUUAAGCUAGAUGUGAAAGCCCCGGGCUCAACCUGGGAGGGUCAUUUAGAACUGGCAGACUAGAGUCUUGGAGAGGGGGGUGGAAUUCCAGGUGUAGCGGUGAAAUGCGUAGAGAUCUGGAGGAACAUCAGUGGCGAAGGCGGCCCCCUGGCCAAAGACUGACGCUCAUGUGCGAAAGUGUGGGUAGCG